AGGCGUAGCCGAUGCACAGACGGUAGAGAUUCCGUCCCCACCGAAAGAUUUAAGCACAGGGACACUUUUAGAAGGUCGGAGCCAGGUGUUGGUUCUGGUAGUGAUCGAGGGAAAUAUAGUACCGAAGUCUGGCUGGAUGAGAGGCGAGAAAAGCUGUGUGUAUAUCUAAGGUGCCCGUACCGCAAACCGACACAGGUAGGUAGGAAGAAGAUUCUAAGGCCAACGGGAGAAGGGUUGUUAAGGAACUCGGCAAGUUGACCCCGUAACUUCGGAAUAAGGGGUGCUCACGAGAGUGAGCCGCAGAGAAUAGGCCCAGGCAACUGUUUACCAAAAACACAGGUUUGUGCUAAAUCGAAAGAUGACGUAUACGAGCUGACGCCUGCCCGGUGCUGGAAGGUUAAAAGGAGAUGUGCAAGCAUUGAAUUGAAGCCCCAGUGAACGGCGGCCGUAACUAUAACGGUCCUAAGGUAGCGAAAUUCCUUGUCAGGUAAGUUCUGACCCGCAUGAAAGGCGUAAUGAUCUGGGCACUGUCUCAACAGCCCGCCCGGCGAAAUUGUAGUACCGGUGAAGAUGCCGGUUACCCGCGACAAGACGGAAAGACCCCAUGGAGCUUUACUGUAGCCUGAUAUUGGGUUUCGGUGUUGCAUGCACAGGAUAGAUGGGACACUGGGAAGCGGAUGCUUUGGCGUUCGUGGAGUGGACGUUGGGAUACCAUCCUUGCGACAUUGGAAUUCUAACCUGCGCCUCUGAAUCGAGGCGGGGGACAUUGUCAGGUGGGCAGUUUGACUGGGGCGGUCGCCUCCUAAAAAGUAGCGGAGGCGUUCAAAGGUUCGUUCGAUCUGGACGGAAACCAGAUGAAUGAGUGCAAACGCAUAAACGAGCCUGACUGCGAGACUGACGGGUCGAGCAGAGACGAAAGUCGGAGUUAGUGAUCCGGUGGUAUGUGAGUGGAAAUGCCAUCGCUCAACGGAUAAAAGUUACCCUGGGGAUAACAGGCUGAUCUCCCCCAAGAGUCCACAUCGACGGGGAGGUU
rnacentral:rRNA from 1 species